rnacentral:lncRNA from 1 species
AUGACCAAGGAAAGAAAGAACUGUGGUAAUGCCCAAAAGGGCCAUGGCCACAUACAACCUAUUCGCUGUACCAACUGUGCCCAAUGUGUGCCCAGGGAUAAGGCCAUUAAGAAGUUUGUCAUUUGGAACAUCGUAGAUGCCACAGCCAUCAGGGACAUUUCUAAAGCGAGUGUUUUUGACACCAUGUGCUUCCCAAGCUGUAUGUGAAACUACAUUACUGCAUGAGUUGUGCCAUUCAGAGUAAGGCAGUUGGGAAUCCAGGAAGUCCAGAAGGACCCAACACCUCCAUCACGAUUUAGACCUGUGGUUGCUGCCCCAUAG